GCCCUCGUAGCUCAGUGGAUAGAGCAUUGGCCUCCGAAGCCAUGAGCCCGCGUUCGAGUCGCGGCGAGGGCA
rnacentral:tRNA from 1 species